rnacentral:rRNA from 1 species
UACGAAGGGGGCUAGCGUUGCUCGGAAUGACUGGGCGUAAAGGGCGCGUAGGCGGAUGGCACAGUCAGAUGUGAAAUUCCCGGGCUUAACCUGGGGGCUGCAUUUGAUACGUGUUGUCUUGAGUUCGGAAGAGGGUCGUGGAAUUCCCAGUGUAGAGGUGAAAUUCGUAGAUAUUGGGAAGAACACCGGUGGCGAAGGCGGCGACCUGGUCCGACACUGACGCUGAGGCGCGAAAGCGUGGGGAGC